rnacentral:rRNA from 1 species
UGGGGAAUUUUGGACAAUGGGCGAAAGCCUGAUCCAGCAAUGCCGCGUGUGUGAAGAAGGCCUUCGGGUUGUAAAGCACUUUUGUCCGGAAAGAAAUCCUUGGCUCUAAUACAGCCGGGGGAUGACGGUACCGGAAGAAUAAGCACCGGCUAACUACGUGCCAGCAGCCGCGGUAAUACGUAGGGUGCAAGCGUUAAUCGGAAUUACUGGGCGUAAAGCGUGCGCAGGCGGUUUGCUAAGACCGAUGUGAAAUCCCCGGGCUCAACCUGGGAACUGCAUUGGUGACUGGCAGGCUAGAGUAUGGCAGAGGGGGGUAGAAUUCCACGUGUAGCAGUGAAAUGCGUAGAGAUGUGGAGGAAUACCGAUGGCGAAGGCAGCCCCCUGGGCCAAUACUGACGCUCAUGCACGAAAGCGUGGGGAGCAAACAGGAUUAGAUACCCUGGUAGUCCACGCCCUAAACGAUGUCAACUAGUUGUUGGGGAUUCAUUUCCUUAGUAACGUAGCUAACGCGUGAAGUUGACCGCCUGGGGAGUACGGUCGCAAGAUUAAAACUCAAAGGAAUUGACGGGGUCAUAGCUGUUUCCU